GAUGAACGCUGACAGAAUGCUUAACACAUGCAAGUCAACUUGAACUUCGGUUUGGGUGGCGGACGGGUGAGUAACGCGUAAAGAACUUGCCUCACAGAUAGGGACAACAUUUGGAAACGAAUGCUAAUACCUGAUAUUAUGAUUAUAUGGCAUCGUAUAAUUAUGAAAGCUAUAUGCGCUGUGAGAGAGCUUUGCGUCCCAUUAGCUAGUUGGAGAGGUAACGGCUCACCAAGGCGAUGAUGGGUAGCCGGCCUGAGAGGGUGAUCGGCCACAAGGGGACUGAGACACGGCCCUUACUCCUACGGGAGGCAGCAGUGGGGAAUAUUGGACAAUGGACCAAGAGUCUGAUCCAGCAAUUCUGUGUGCACGAUGAAGUUUUUCGGAAUGUAAAGUGCUUUCAGUUGGGAAGAAAAAAAUGACGAUACCAACAGAAGAAGUGACGGCUAAAUACGUG
rnacentral:rRNA from 1 species